UGGAGCAGCUCGGUAGCUCGUCGGGCUCAUAACCCGAAGGUCGCAGGUUCAAAUCCUGCUCCCGCAACCA
rnacentral:tRNA from 1 species